AACUCUGGUAUUGAUUGGUGCUUGCAUCAUGAUUUACAUUUGAGUGAGUGGCGAACUGGUGAGUAACACGUGGGAAACCUGCCCAGAAGCGGGGGAUAACACCUGGAAACAGAUGCUAAUACCGCAUAACAACUUGGACCGCAUGGUCCGAGCUUGAAAGAUGGCUUCGGCUAUCACUUUUGGAUGGUCCCGCGGCGUAUUAGCUAGAUGGUGAGGUAACGGCUCACCAUGGCAAUGAUACGUAGCCGACCUGAGAGGGUAAUCGGCCACAUUGGGACUGAGACACGGCCCAAACUCCUACGGGAGGCAGCAGUAGGGAAUCUUCCACAAUGGACGAAAGUCUGAUGGAGCAACGCCGCGUGAGUGAAGAAGGGUUUCGGCUCGUAAAACUCUGUUGUUAAAGAAGAACAUAUCUGAGAGUAACUGUUCAGGUAUUGACGGUAUUUAACCAGAAAGCCACGGCUAACUACGUGCCAGCAGCCGCGGUAAUACGUAGGUGGCAAGCGUUGUCCGGAUUUAUUGGGCGUAAAGCGAGCGCAGGCGGUUUUUUAAGUCUGAUGUGAAAGCCUUCGGCUCAACCGAAGAAGUGCAUCGGAAACUGGGAAACUUGAGUGCAGAAGAGGACAGUGGAACUCCAUGUGUAGCGGUGAAAUGCGUAGAUAUAUGGAAGAACACCAGUGGCGAAGGCGGCUGUCUGGUCUGUAACUGACGCUGAGGCUCGAAAGUAUGGGUAGCAAACAGGAUUAGAUACCCUGGUAGUCCAUACCGUAAACGAUGAAUGCUAAGUGUUGGAGGGUUUCCGCCCUUCAGUGCUGCAGCUAACGCAUUAAGCAUUCCGCCUGGGGAGUACGGCCGCAAGGCUGAAACUCAAAGGAAUUGACGGGGGCCCGCACAAGCGGUGGAGCAUGUGGUUUAAUUCGAAGCUACGCGAAGAACCUUACCAGGUCUUGACAUACUAUGCAAAUCUAAGAGAUUAGACGUUCCCUUCGGGGACAUGGAUACAGGUGGUGCAUGGUUGUCGUCAGCUCGUGUCGUGAGAUGUUGGGGUUAAGUCCCGCAACGAGCGCAACCCUUAUUAUCAGUUGCCAGCAUUAAGUUGGGCACUCUGGUGAGACUGCCGGUGACAAACCGGAGGAAGGUGGGGAUGACGUCAAAUCAUCAUGCCCCUUAUGACCUGGGCUACACACGUGCUACAAUGGAUGGUACAACGAGUUGCGAACUCGCGAGAGUAAGCUAAUCUCUUAAAGCCAUUCUCAGUUCGGAUUGUAGGCUGCAACUCGCCUACAUGAAGUCGGAAUCGCUAGUAAUCGCGGAUCAGCAUGCCGCGGUGAAUACGUUCCCGGGCCUUGUACACACCGCCCGUCACACCAUGAGAGUUUGUAACACCCAAAGUCGGUGG
rnacentral:rRNA from 2 species